rnacentral:rRNA from 1 species
CAAUAGCGUAUAUUAAAGUUGUUGCAGUUAAAAAGCUCGUAGUUGGAUUUCUGGUCGGAAGCUCCUGUCCUCUGAUGAGCGUACAAGUGCGUCCUACCAUCCUUCUGUUAACCUUUAAGGCUUUCGCGGCUUUCUAGGGGCUCAGAUAUUUUACCUUGAGAAAAUUAGAGUGUUUCAGGCAGGCUAGCGCCGGAAUACAUUAGCAUGGAAUAAUGGAAUAGGACUUUUGCCUCUUCUGUUGGUCAUGAGGCUCGAGUAAUGAUUAAUAGGGAUAGUUGGGGACAUUAGUACUUAACUGUCAGAGGUGAAAUUCUCGGAUUUGUUAAAGACUAACUUAUGCGAAAGCAUUUGCCAAGGAUGUUUUCAUUA